rnacentral:tRNA from 1 species
GGUUAAUUAGUCCAGUUGGUUAGAGCGUCCCGCAGGAUUGCGGGAAGGCCACCGGUUCGAAUCCGGUAUUCUCCA